GGGGCACUCACUGGUCUCAGCUCCAAAAUAACUCAGCAGAAAAGAGUUUUCACCUAAAAAAAAUCCCCACGAAUGUCUCCCAGGGAAGAAAUAUAGCUCCCAUAAUUAAAGGAGGCAGCGGCCAGAGGGGGAAUGCAGCCGGCAACCAAAAAAAAAGGCCACAAUGAGAAUCAUAUUUGGCAUGGAGAGGCAGGCUUUCAACUUUAUUUCACUCAAGGUAUACUUUGAAGCAAUUUUUACCCAGAGGAGUGAAAGACCUUCAGACCAAACUCCCUCCCAUUUAUUGGGAGGUGAAAGGAAUGGGCUUAGGGUGGUGUUAGUAGAUGAUCAAAACCAAAUACACAGAGAGGUGAGACACCGUGUUCUGGCAUGGAGGUUGUAAAAAGCAGGGGCUUAACAUUUUCAGAACUGGAGAAAA